UUGGAGGGCAAGUCUGGUGCCAGCAGCCGCGGUAAUUCCAGCUCCAAUAGCGUAUAUUAAAGUUGUUGCAGUUAAAAAGCUCGUAGUUGAAUUUCGGGAUCAGAGUGUCGGUCGUGCCUCGGUACGCACUGGUAUUAUUGGUUCCUACCUUCUGAAGAACCGCGAUGUCAUUAAUUUGGUGUCGUGGGGAAUCAGGACUGUUACUUUGAAAAAAUUAGAGUGUUUAAAGCAGGCUUACGCUUGAAUACAUUAGCAUGGAAUAAUGAAAUAGGACGUUUGAUUCUAUUUUGUUGGUUUCUAGGAUUGACGUAAUGAUUAAUAGGGAUAGUUGGGGGCAUUAGUAUUCAAUUGUCAGAGGUGAAAUUCUUGGAUUUAUUGAAGACUAACUACUGCGAAAGCAUUUGCCAAGGAUGUCUUCAUUAAUCAAGAACGAAAGUUAGGGGAUCGAAGACGAUCAGAUACCGUCGUAGUCUUAACCAUAAACUAUGCCGACUAGGGAUCGGAUGAUGUUAAUUUUUUAAUGACUCAUUCGGCGCCUUACGGGAAACCAAAGUGUUUGGGUUC
rnacentral:rRNA from 1 species